rnacentral:rRNA from 1 species
GACGAACGCUGGCGGCGUGCCUAAUACAUGCAAGUUGAGCGCUGAAGGUUGGUACUUGUACCAACUGGAUGAGCAGCGCACGGGUGAGUAACGCGUGGGGAAUCUGCCUUUGAGCGGGGGACAACAUUUGGAAACGAAUGCUAAUACCGCAUAAAAACUUUAAACACAAGUUUUAAGUUUGAAAGAUGCAAUUGCAUCACUCAAAGAUGAUCCCGCGUUGUAUUAGCUAGUUGGUGAGGUAAAGGCUCACCAAGGCGAUGAUACAUAGCCGACCUGAGAGGGUGAGCGGCCACAUUGGGACGGAGACACGGCCCAAAGUCCUACGGGAGGCAGCAGGAGGGAAUCUUGGGCAAUGGACGAAAGUCUGACCGAGCAACGCCGCGGGAGUGAAGAAGGUUUUCGGAUCGUAAAACUCUGUUGGUAGAGAAGAACGUUGGUGAGAGUGGAAAGCUCAUCAAGUGACGGUAACUACCCAGAAAGGGACGGCUAACUACGUG